rnacentral:rRNA from 1 species
CAGUCGCCACGGGAAAACGGAGGAUCCAAGCGUUAUCCGGAUUUAUUGGGUUUAAAGGGUGCGUAGGCGGCCUGUUAAGUCAGGGGUGAAAGACGGUAGCUUAACUAUCGCAGUGCCCUUGAUACUGAUGGGCUUGAAUGUACUAGAGGUAGGCGGAAUGUGACAAGUAGCGGUGAAAUGCAUAGAUAUGUCACAGAACACCAAUUGCGAAGGCAGCUUACUAUGGUAUGAUUGACGCUGAGGCACGAAAGUGUGGGGAUCAAACAGGAUUAGAUACCCCCGUAGUCCCUGUCUCUUAUAC